GGGUUGUGAGGUUAAGCGACUAAGCGUACACGGUGGAUGCCCUGGCAGUCAGAGGCGAUGAAGGACGUGCUAAUCUGCGAAAAGCGUCGGUAAGGUGAUAUGAACCGUUACAGCCGGCGAUGUCCGAAUGGGGAAACCCAGUGCAAUUCGUUGCACUAUCGUUAACUGAAUACAUAGGUUAACGAGGCGAACCGGGGGAACUGAAACAUCUAAGUACCCCGAGGAAAAGAAAUCAACCGAGAUUCCCCCAGUAGCGGCGAGCGAACGGGGAGCAGCCCAGAGUCUGAAUCAGCUUGUGUGUUAGUGGAACGGUCUGGAAAGUCCGACGGUACAGGGUGAUAGUCCCGUACACCAAAAUGCACAGGCUGUGAACUCGAAGAGUAGGGCGGGACACGUGGUAUCCUGUCUGAAUAUGGGGGGACCAUCCUCCAAGGCUAAAUACUCCUGACUGACCGAUAGUGAACCAGUACCGUGAGGGAAAGGCGAAAAGAACCCCGGCGAGGGGAGUGAAAAAGAACCUGAAACCGUGUACGUACAAGCAGUGGGAGCACCUUCGGGUGUGACUGCGUACCUUUUUGUAUAAUGGGUCAGCGACUUAUAUUCUGUAGCAAGGUUAACCGUAUAGGGGAGCCGCAGGGAAACCGAGUCUUAACUGGGCGUUAAGUUGCAGGGUAUAGACCCGAAACCCGGUGAUCUAGCCAUGGGCAGGUUGAAGGUUGGGUAACACUAACUGGAGGACCGAACCGACUAAUGUUGAAAAAUUAGCGGAUGACUUGUGGCUGGGGGUGAAAGGCCAAUCAAACCGGGAGAUAGCUGGUUCUCCCCGAAAGCUAUUUAGGUAGCGCCUCGUGAAUUCAUCUUCGGGGGUAGAGCACUGUUUCGGCUAGGGGGUCAUCCCGACUUACCAACCCGAUGCAAACUACGAAUACCGAAGAAUGUUAUCACGGGAGACACACGGCGGGUGCUAACGUCCGUCGUGAAGAGGGAAACAACCCAGACCGCCAGCUAAGGUCCCAAAGUCAUGGUUAAGUGGGAAACGAUGUGGGAAGGCACAGACAGCCAGGAUGUUGGCUUAGAAGCAGCCAUCAUUUAAAGAAAGCGUAAUAGCUCACUGGUCGAGUCGGCCUGCGCGGAAGAUGUAACGGGGCUAAACCAUGCACCGAAGCUGCGGCAGCGACACUAUGUGUUGUUGGGUAGGGGAGCGUUCUGUAAGCCUGCGAAGGUGUGCUGUGAGGCAUGCUGGAGGUAUCAGAAGUGCGAAUGCUGACAUAAGUAACGAUAAAGCGGGUGAAAAGCCCGCUCGCCGGAAGACCAAGGGUUCCUGUCCAACGUUAAUCGGGGCAGGGUGAGUCGACCCCUAAGGCGAGGCCGAAAGGCGUAGUCGAUGGGAAACAGGUUAAUAUUCCUGUACUUGGUGUUACUGCGAAGGGGGGGGACGGAGAAGGCUAUGUUAGCCGGGCGACGGUUGUCCCGGUUUAAGCAUGUAGGCUGGUUAUCCAGGCAAAUCCGGAUAAUCAAGGCUGAGGUGUGAUGACGAGGCACUACGGUGCUGAAGUAACAAAUGCCCUGCUUCCAGGAAAAGCCUCUAAGCAUCAGGUAACAUCAAAUCGUACCCCAAACCGACACAGGUGGUCAGGUAGAGAAUACCAAGGCGCUUGAGAGAACUCGGGUGAAGGAACUAGGCAAAAUGGUGCCGUAACUUCGGGAGAAGGCACGCUGGUGUGUAGGUGAAGUCCCUGCGGAUGGAGCUGAGACCAGUCGAAGAUACCAGCUGGCUGCAACUGUUUAUUAAAAACACAGCACUGUGCAAACACGAAAGUGGACGUAUACGGUGUGACGCCUGCCCGGUGCCGGAAGGUUAAUUGAUGGGGUUAUCCGUAAGGAGAAGCUCUUGAUCGAAGCCCCGGUAAACGGCGGCCGUAACUAUAACGGUCCUAAGGUAGCGAAAUUCCUUGUCGGGUAAGUUCCGACCUGCACGAAUGGCGUAAUGAUGGCCAGGCUGUCUCCACCCGAGACUCAGUGAAAUUGAACUCGCUGUGAAGAUGCAGUGUACCCGCGGCAAGACGGAAAGACCCCGUGAACCUUUACUAUAGCUUGACACUGAACAUUGAGCCUUGAUGUGUAGGAUAGGUGGGAGGCUUUGAAGCGUGGACGCCAGUCUGCGUGGAGCCAACCUUGAAAUACCACCCUUUAAUGUUUGAUGUUCUAACGUUGGCCCCUUACCGGGGUUGCGGACAGUGUCUGGUGGGUAGUUUGACUGGGGCGGUCUCCUCCCAAAGCGUAACGGAGGAGCACGAAGGUUAGCUAAUCCUGGUCGGACAUCAGGAGGUUAGUGCAAUGGCAUAAGCUAGCUUGACUGCGAGCGUGACGGCGCGAGCAGGUGCGAAAGCAGGUCAUAGUGAUCCGGUGGUUCUGAAUGGAAGGGCCAUCGCUCAACGGAUAAAAGGUACUCCGGGGAUAACAGGCUGAUACCGCCCAAGAGUUCAUAUCGACGGCGGUGUUUGGCACCUCGAUGUCGGCUCAUCACAUCCUGGGGCUGAAGUAGGUCCCAAGGGUAUGGCUGUUCGCCAUUUAAAGUGGUACGCGAGCUGGGUUUAGAACGUCGUGAGACAGUUCGGUCCCUAUCUGCCGUGGGCGCUGGAGAAUUGAGGGGGGCUGCUCCUAGUACGAGAGGACCGGAGUGGACGCAUCACUGGUGUUCGGGUUGUCAUGCCAAUGGCACUGCCCGGUAGCUAAAUGCGGAAGAGAUAAGUGCUGAAAGCAUCUAAGCACGAAACUUGCCCCGAGAUGAGUUCUCCCUGAGACUUUAAGUCUCCUGAAGGAACGUUAAAGACGAUGACGUUGAUAGGCCGGGUGUGUAAGCGCAGCGAUGCGUUGAGCUAACCGGUACUAA
rnacentral:rRNA from 1 species